rnacentral:rRNA from 1 species
AUUCCAGCUCCAAUAGCGUAUAUUAAAGUUGUUGCAGUUAAAAAGCUCGUAGUUGAACUUCUGGCUAUUCUUCCAGCUGGCUUCGGUCGCUGUAAGAGUGGUCAUCCGCUUGGGAACUACGUUCGAACUUCACUGUUCGGCGUAAGGAACAGGCAUUUUACUUAGAAAAAAUUAGAGUGUUCAAGGCAGGCUAUCGCCCUGAAUACACAAGCUUGGAAUAAUGAAAUAGGACUAUUUCCAUUUUAUUGGUUAUUGGAAUUAGUAAUGAUUAAUAGGGACAGUUGGGGACAUUAGUAUUUAAUUGUCAGAGGUGGAAUUCUUGGAUUUAUUAAAGACUAACUUAUGCGAAAGCAUUUGUCAAGGAUGUUUUCAUCG